rnacentral:rRNA from 1 species
AGAGUUUGAUCAUGGCUCAGGAUGAACGCUAGCGGCAGGCUUAAUACAUGCAAGUCGUGGGGCAGCAUGACUGUAGCAAUACAGUUGAUGGCGACCGGCAAACGGGUGCGGAACACGUACACAACCUUCCUUUUAGUGGAGAAUAGCCCAGGGAAACUUGGAUUAAUACUCCGUAACAUAUAGAAGUGGCAUCACUUUUAUAUUAUAGCAGCAAUGCGCUAGAAGAUGGGUGUGCGGCUGAUUAGAUAGUUGGCGGGGUAACGGCCCACCAAGUCGACGAUCAGUAACUGGUGUGAGAGCACGACCAGUCACACGGGCACUGAGACACGGGCCCGACUCCUACGGGAGGCAGCAGUAAGGAAUAUUGGUCAAUGGACGCAAGUCUGAACCAGCCAUGCCGCGUGGAGGAUGAAGGUCCUCUGGAUUGUAAACUUCUUUUAUUUGGGAAGAAACCCAUCUUUUCUAAGAUGGCUGACGGUACCAGAUGAAUAAGCACCGGCUAACUCCGUGCCAGCAGCCGCGGUAAUACGGAGGGUGCAAGCGUUAUCCGGAUUCACUGGGUUUAAAGGGUGCGUAGGUGGGCAAGUAAGUCAGUGGUGAAAUCUCCGGGCUUAACCCGGAAACUGCCAUUGAUACUAUUUGUCUUGAAUACUGUGGAGGUCAGCGGAAUAUGUCAUGUAGCGGUGAAAUGCUUAGAUAUGACAUAGAACACCAAUUGCGAAGGCAGCUGGCUACACAAAUAUUGACACUGAGGCACGAAAGCGUGGGGAUCAAACAGGAUUAGAUACCCUAGUAGUCC